GGCACUAUGGCCGAGUGGUUAAGGCGCUUCCCUGCUACUUAGUAGAUUAGGAAGUCCGUUCGCGGGCGCGUGUUCGAAUCACGUUGGUGUCG
rnacentral:tRNA from 1 species